rnacentral:rRNA from 1 species
GAUGAACGCUGGCGGCGUGCCUAAUACAUGCAAGUCGAACGGAAAGGCCCUGUUCUUGUGGGGUGUCCGAGAGCCGAACGGGUGAGUAACACGCGAGUAACCUGGCCUCGACGUUGGGAUAACUUGAGGAAACUGGUGCUUAUACCGGAUAGGUGUCUCUGCUGCAUGGUGUUUGUUGGAUAUGUUCGGCGGUUGGGUAUGGACUCGCGGCUUAUCAGCUUGUUGGUGGGGUAGUGGCUUACCAAGGCUUUGACGGGUAGCCGGCCUGAGAGGGUGACCGGCCACAUUGGGACUGAGAUACGGCCCAGACUCCUACGGGAGGCAGCAGUGGGGAAUAUUGCACAAUGGGCGGAAGCCUGAUGCAGCAACGCCGCGUGCGGGAUGACGGCCUUCGGGUUGUAAACCGCUUUCGCCUGUGACGAAGCGUGAGUGACGGUAAUGGGUAAAGAAGCACCGGCUAACUACGUG